UACGUAGGGUGCAAGCGUUGUCCGGAAUUAUUGGGCGUAAAGAGCUUGUAGGCGGUUUGUCGCGUCUGCUGUGAAAUUUCGGGGCUCAACCCCGAACUUGCAGUGGGUACGGGCAGGCUAGAGUGUGGUAGGGGAGACUGGAAUUCCUGGUGUAGCGGUGAAAUGCGCAGAUAUCAGGAGGAACACCGGUGGCGAAGGCGGUUCUCUGGGCCUGGACUGACGCUGAGGAACGAAAGCGUGGGGAGCGAACAGG
rnacentral:rRNA from 1 species